AUGAACGCUAGCUACAGGCUUAACACAUGCAAGUCGAGGGGCAGCGGGGAGGAAGCUUGCUUUCUCUGCCGGCGACCGGCGCACGGGUGAGUAACGCGUAUCGAACCUGCCUCAUACUCGGGAAUAGCCUUGCGAAAGUAAGAUUAAUGCCCGAUGUUUUCAGCGGUCCGCAUGAACUGCUGAACAAAGAUUUAUCGGUAUGAGAUGGCGAUGCGUCCCAUUAGCUUGUUGGCGGGGUAACAGCCCACCAAGGCAUCGAUGGGUAGGGGUUCUGAGAGGAAGGUCCCCCACAUUGGAACUGAGACACGGUCCAAACUCCUACGGGAGGCAGCAGUGAGGAAUAUUGGUCAAUGGACGCAAGUCUGAACCAGCCAAGUAGCGUGCAGGACGACGGCCCUCCGGGUUGUAAACUGCUUUUAGUUGGGAAUAAAGUGCAGCUCGUGAGCUGUUUUGUAUGUACCAUCAGAAAAAGGACCGGCUAAUUCCGUGCCAGCAGCCGCGGUAAUACGGAAGGUCCAGGCGUUAUCCGGAUUUAUUGGGUUUAAAGGGAGCGCAGGCGGACUCUUAAGUCAGUUGUGAAAUACGGCGGCUCAACCGUCGGACUGCAGUUGAUACUGGGAGUCUUGAGUGCACACAGGGAUGCUGGAAUUCAUGGUGUAGCGGUGAAAUGCUCAGAUAUCAUGAAGAACUCCGAUCGCGAAGGCAGGUAUCCGGGGUGCAACUGACGCUGAGGCUCGAAAGUGCGGGUAUCAAACAGGAUUAGAUACCCUGGUAGUCCGCACAGUAAACGAUGAAUACUCGCGGUUGGCGAUAUACAGUCAGCCGCCAAGCGAAAGCGUUAAGUAUUCCACCUGGGGAGUACGCCGGCAACGGUGAAACUCAAAGGAAUUGACGGGGGCCCGCACAAGCGGAGGAACAUGUGGUUUAAUUCGAUGAUACGCGAGGAACCUUACCCGGGCUUGAACUGAGGGGGAAUGAGCCAGAGAUGACUCAGUCUUCGGACUCCCUUGGAGGUGCUGCAUGGUUGUCGUCAGCUCGUGUCGUGAGAUGUUGGGUUAAGUCCCGCAACGAGCGCAACCCUUAUUGCCAGUUACUACGUUAAGAGGACUCUGGCGAGACUGCCGUUGACAAAACGGAGGAAGGUGGGGAUGACGUCAAAUCAUCAUGCCCUUUAUGACCUGGGCUACACACGUAAUACAAUGGCGGUCAACAAAGGGAUGCAAAGCCGCGAGGCAGAGCGAACCCCAAAAAGCCGUCCCAGUUCGGAUCGCAGGCUGCAACCCGCCUGCGUGAAGUCGGAAUCGCUAGUAAUCGUGGGUCAGCAUACCACGGUGAAUACGUUCCCGGGCCUUGUACACACCGCCCGUCAAGCCAUGAAAGCCGGGAGCACCUGAAGACCGUGACCGCAAGGGUCGGCCUAGGGUGAUACUGGUGAUUGGGGCU
rnacentral:rRNA from 1 species